ACCCCCUCAAGCUCUGCUUGGUGUUGGGCGUCUGUCCCGCCUCUGCGCGCGGACUCGCCCCAAAGGCAUUGGCAGCGGUCGUGCCAGCUUCUCGCGCAGCAUACGCGCUACGGAGGCGAGUCGACCCGCGUCCACAAGCACUUUUUUACCA
rnacentral:misc_RNA from 1 species